AACAAACGCUGGCGGCGUGCCUAAUACAUGCAAGUCGAACGGGUAGCAAUACCAGUGGCGCACGGGUGAGGAAUACAUAGAUAAUCUGCCCUCGAGUUGGGGAUAACCAGUCGAAAGACUGGCUAAUACCGAAUAAGACCACGUGAUCUGCGGAUCAUGAGGUUAAAGGUUUUUCGCUUGAGGAUGAGUCUAUGCGAGAUUAGCUAGUUGGUGAGGUAAUGGCUCACCAAGGCGACGAUCUCUAACUGGUCUUAGAGGAUGAUCAGUCACACUGGAACUGAGACACGGUCCAGACUCCUACGGGAGGCAGCAGUAGGGAAUAUUGCGCAAUGGGGGAAACCCUGACGCAGCGACGCCGCGUGAGUGAUGAAGGCCUUCGGGUCGUAAAGCUCUGUCGUAUGGGACUAACACAAUGAAGGUACCAUGCAAGAAAGGAUCGGCUAACUUCGUGCCAGCAGCCGCAGUAA
rnacentral:rRNA from 1 species